GAUGAACGCUGGCGGCGUGCCUAAUACAUGCAAGUCGAGCGAACGGACGAGAAGCUUGCUUCUCUGAUGUUAGCGGCGGACGGGUGAGUAACACGUGGAUAACCUACCUAUAAGACUGGGAUAAUUUCGGGAAACCGGAGCUAAUACCGGAUAAUAUUUUGAACCGCAUGGUUCAAAAGUGAAAGACGGUCUUGCUGUCACUUAUAGAUGGAUCCGCGCUGCAUUAGCUAGUUGGUAAGGUAACGGCUUACCAAGGCAACGAUGCAUAGCCGACCUGAGAGGGUGAUCGGCCACACUGGAACUGAGACACGAUCCAGACUCCUACGGGAGGCAGCAGUAGGGAAUCUUCCGCAAUGGGCGAAAGCCUGACGGAGCAACGCCGCGUGAGUGAUGAAGGUCUUCGGAUCGUAAAACUCUGUUAUUAGGGAAGAACAUAUGUGUAAGUAACUGUGCACAUCUUGACGGUACCUAAUCAGAAAGCCACGGCUAACUACGUG
rnacentral:rRNA from 1 species